CAGGCUAAAACCAGAAACGGAGAAACUAGUGAGAUGCCUUCUGGCUGCAGAUGUCGAUGACAAGAAGUCGCUAACAGACGAAUGGUCGAAGAAUAAGACUUGUAAGUUUUUUUGUCAUCACAUAAUUCUGUGAUUUUAUGGUGUAACUUACACUGGUGUUUAUAUGGUGUAAUAUAAGUACAGGGAUUCCCCGACUUGCACAGAAUUCGACCUAAGGGUAGACAUGGUUAGAUGAUAUCCAUUGUCUCUGUUUGUCAUGGUUAGGGACCCAGCAGGAAAAGAGUAAUGAUGGUUGCUUCUGAUAGGACCCUAUGUAGGAGGUACCUCAGGACUCUACCUCCACAACCCUCUCAGAAAUAGUGGGAAGAGAAGAUGGAUGGAUAGAUUGAAUAUCAGCCCCUAUCUAUCUCUCUAUCCGCCCAGUCGAAGUCGACUCUCGGUCACUCGGAUCAGUGUCCUCCAGUCAGUUCUAUCCUGGACCGCUUCUUUCAAAUUGGCUAUGUCCAUUCUGAUAUCACUCUUGAUGGUGUCAAGCCAGCGGGUUCUUGGUCGGCCUCUUCCUCUCUUGCCACUGACCAUUCCGAGCAUGAUGUCCUUCUCCGGGGAUUUUCUCCACAUAAUAUGACUGAAAUAUGCCAAUCUAUGCUUGGUGAUCCUAGCUUCUAGCGACAUUUUCGGCCUUAUCUGCUUAAGAACUUCUCCAUUGGUGAGCCUCACUGUCCAUGGAAUUCGUAAAAGUCUUCUCCAACACCAAAGCUCGAAUGCAUUAAUUCUCUUCUGGUCAGCUUUCUUUAGUGUCCAUAUAUAUAUAUAUAUAUAUAUAUACACAUAUAUAUACACACAUAUAUAUACACACAUAUCUAUCUAUCUAUCUAUGUGCUCAGUUGACUCUCGGUCACUCGUUGGAUCAGUGUCCUCCAGUCAGUUCUAUCCUGGGCUGCUUCUUUAAGACUGGCCAUGUCCAUUCUGGUAUCACUCUUGAUGGUGUCAAGCCAGCGGGUUCUUGGUCGGCCUCUUCCUCUCUUGCCACUGACCAUUCUGAGCAUGAUGUCCUCCGCCAGGGAUUUUCUCCGCAUAAUAUGACCGAAAUAUGCCAAUUUAUGCUUGGUGAUCCUAGCUUCUAGCGACAUUUUCGGCCUGAUCUGCUUAAGAACUUCUCCAUUGGUCGGCCUCUUCCUCUCUUGCCACUGACCAUUCCGAGCAUGAUGUCCUUCUCCAGGGAUUUUCUCUGCAUAAUAUAUAACAUGACCAAGAUAUGCCAAUCUAUGCUUGGUGAUCCCAGCUUCUAGUGACAUUUUCGGCCUGAUCUGCUUAAGAACUUCUCCAUUGGUCGGCCUCUUCCUCUCUUGCCACUGACCAUUCCGAGCAUGAUGUCCUUCUCCAGGGAUUUUCUCUGCAUAAUAUAUAACAUGACCAAAAUAUGCCAAUCUAUGCUUGGUGAUCCCAGCUUCUAGUAACAUUUUCGGCCUGAUCUGCUUAAGAACUUCUCCAUUGGUGAGCCUCGCUGUCCAUGGAAUCUGUAAAAGUCUUCUCCAACACCAAAGCUCGAAUGCAUUAAUUCUCUUCUGGUCAGCUUUCUUUAGUGUCCAUAUAUAUACACAAAUAUAUCUCUCUAUCCGCUCAGUCGAAGUCGACUCUCGGUCACUCGUUGGGUCGGCCUCUUCCUCUCUUGCCACUGACCAUUCCGAGCAUGAUGUCCUUCUCCAGGGAUUUUCUCCACAUAAUAUAACCGAAAUAUGCCAAUCUAUGCUUGGUGAUCCUAGCUUCUAGCGACAUUUUCUGCCCUAUCUGCUUAAGAACUUCUCCAUUGGUGAGCCUCACUGUCCAUGGAAUUCGUAAAAGUCUUCUCCAACACCAAAGCUCGAAUGCAUUAAUUCUCUUCUGGUCAGCUUUCUUUAGUGUCCAUAUAUAUAUAUAUAUACACAUAUAUACACACACAUAUAUAUACACACAUAUAUCUAUCUAUCUAUCUAUGUGCUCAGUUGACUCUCGGUCACUCGUUGGAUCAGUGUCCUCCAGUCAGUUCUAUCCUGGGCCGCUUCUUUCAGACUGGCUAUGUCCAUUCUGGUAUCACUCUUGAUGGUGUCAAGCCAGUGGGUUCUUGGUCGGCCUCUUCCUCUCUUGCCACUGACCAUUCCGCAGUCGAAGUCGACUCUCGGUUACUCGUUGGAUCAGUGUCCUCCAGUCAGUUCUAUCCUGGGCCGCUUCCUUCAGAUUGGCCAUGUUCAUUCCGGUAUCACUCUUGAUGGUAUCAAGCCAGCGGGUUCUUGGUCGGCCUCUUCCACUCUUGUCACUGACCAUUCCGUAUAUAUAUAUAUAUAUAUCCGCUCAGUCGAAGUCGACUCUCGGUCACUCGUUGGAUCAGUGUCCUCCAGUCAGUUCUAUCCUGGGCCGCUUCUUUCAGACUGGCUAUGUCCAUUCUGGUAUCACUCUUGAUGGUGUCAAGCCAGCGGGUUCUUGGUCGGCCUCUUCCUCUCUUGCCACUGACCAUUCCGAGCAUGAUGUCCUCCGCCAGGGAUUUUCUUCGCAUAACAUGACCGAAACAUGCCAAUCUAUGCUUGGUGAUCCUAGCUUCUAGCGACGUUUUUGGCCUGAUCUGCUUAAGAACUUCUCCAUUGGUCGGCCUCUUCCUCUCUUGCCACUGACCAUUCCGAGCAUUCUCCAGGGAUUUUCUCUGCAUAAUAUAUAACAUGACCAAAAUAUGCCAAUCUAUAUUUGGUGAUCCUAGCUUCUAGCGACAUUUUCGGCCUGAUCUGCUUAAGAACUUCUCCAUUGGUGAGCCUCGCUGUCCAUGGAAUCCGUAAAAGUCUUCUCCAACACCAAAGCUCGAAUGCAUUAAUUCUCUUCAGCAGCCCCAGUUAUUAACAAUUUGUUUAAUUUGUUUUCUUUGUAGAUCUUCUAGCAGAAUACUUGAAAUGGUUACCUGAGGAACAACAUGCCGCAGUAAAAGAACUAUGGCCACCAGUCUAAUUGCUUCCUUUGUUAGCAUCACUAACGAUCAUUUUUAAUGUAAAAAGUCAUUGACUAAAAGAUAAAUAUAUAUUUAUUUAUAUUUCUAAACUGUUUUCCUUGUUAAUUUUUUGUGUAUAUGUUUGCAU
rnacentral:lncRNA from 1 species